GACCUAGUAGUGGAUGGACCACGUCUGCUCGUGGUGACGCUAUCUCCAUGGAUAUAUCUGUAGGAUUCCCUGGUUCGACUCCAGGCUGGGUCA